rnacentral:rRNA from 1 species
GACGAACGCUGGCGGCGUGCUUAACACAUGCAAGUCGAACGGAAAGGCCUCUUUCGGGGGGUACUCGAGUGGCGAACGGGUGAGUAACACGUGAGUAACCUGCCCUUGACUUUGGGAUAACUUCAGGAAACUGGGGCUAAUACCGGAUAGGAGCUCCUGCUGCAUGGUGGGGGUUGGAAAGUUUCGGCGGUUGGGGUUGAACUCGCGGCUUAUCAGCUUGUUGGUGGGGUAGUGGCUUACAAAGGCUUUGACGGGUAGCCGGCCUGAGAGGGUGACCGGCAAAAUUGGGACUGAGAUACGCCCAAGACUCCAACGGGGGGAGGCAGGGGGGAUUUUUGCACAUUGGGCGGAACCCGGAUGAGGAAACGCCGGGUGCGGGAGAACGGCCUUCGGUUGGUAACCGCUUUCGGUCAUGACGGAGCUUUGUGUGACGGUAGUGGGUAAAGAAGCACCGGCUAACUACGUG